CACGGUGGUUAUAUCGAGGACAAUAACCUCUUCCCAUUCCGAACAGAGAAGUUAAAUUCCUCAGAGCCGAUGGUACUGCAAAAUCAUGUGGGAGAGUAGGUCACUGCCAAAU
rnacentral:rRNA from 1 species